GACGAACGCUGGCGGCGUGCUUAACACAUGCAAGUCGAACGGAAGGGCCCUGCUUUUGUGGGGUGCUCGAGUGGCGAACGGGUGAGUAACACGUGAGUAACCUGCCCUUGACUUUGGGAUAACUUCAGGAAACUGGGGCUAAUACCGGAUAGGAGCUCCUGCUGCAUGGUGGGGGUUGGAAAGUUUCGGCGGUUGGGGCUGGACUAGCGGCUUAUCAGCUUGUUGGUGGGGUAGUUGCUUACCAAGGCUUUGACGGGUAGCCGGCCUGAGAGGGUGACCGGCCACAUUGGGACUGAGAUACGGCCCAGACUCCUACGGGAGGCAGCAGGGGGGAAUAUUGCACAAUGGGGGGAAGCCUGAUGCAGCAACGCCGCGUGCGGGAUGACGGCCUUCGGGUUGUAAACCGCUUUCGCCUGUGACGAAGCGUGAGUGACGGUAAUGGGUAAAGAAGCACCGGCUAACUACGUG
rnacentral:rRNA from 1 species